rnacentral:rRNA from 1 species
GAAACGACUCUCGACAACGGAUAUCUCGGCUCUCGCAUCGAUGAAGAACGCAGUGAAAUGCGAUACUUGGUGUGAAUUGCAGAAUCCCGUGAACCAUCGAGUUUUUUAACGCAAGUUGCGCCCGAAGCCUUCAGGCCAAGGGCACGUCUGCCUGGGCGUCACUC